rnacentral:rRNA from 1 species
GACGAACGCUGGCGGCGUGCCUAAUACAUGCAAGUAGAACGCUGAAGGAGGAGCUUGCUUCUCUGGAUGAGUUGCGAACGGGUGAGUAACGCGUAGGUAACCUGCCUGGUAGCGGGGGAUAACUAUUGGAAACGAUAGCUAAUACCGCAUAAGAGUAGAUGUUGCAUGACAUUUGCUUAAAAGGUGCAAUUGCAUCACUACCAGAUGGACCUGCGUUGUAUUAGCUAGUUGGUGAGGUAACGGCUCACCAAGGCAACGAUACAUAGCCGACCUGAGAGGGUGAUCGGCCACACUGGGACUGAGACACGGCCCAGACUCCUACGGGAGGCAGCAGUAGGGAAUCUUCGGCAAUGGACGGAAGUCUGACCGAGCAACGCCGCGUGAGUGAAGAAGGUUUUCGGAUCGUAAAGCUCUGUUGUAAGAGAAGAACGAGUGUGAGAGUGGAAAGUUCACACUGUGACGGUAUCUACC